UAUGGCGUUACGCAUCUUGUUAUUCUAAUGUCUUUGCUUCAAGAAUGUUUCCGGUGAUCUUUUUGAUGACCAAACGCGUACCGUUACAUAAUUGAGGUGGAUUCAAAUUACGGAGGAGAAUAAUAGGGGAACCAAUCUUUAAUCGAAGAUUAUGUGGUGGCAUUCCAGGGAUAUCUAAUGAAUUUAAAAAUUCGAUCGGAAAAUUAACACUUUCAUUUUCAUCAACAACAGUAUCGAUUGAUUUAAAAGACAUCAGAUCGCCUGGUAACAACUGUUGUAUCUGGAAGUUAAUUUCGUCAACAUCAACGUUUUUGGCUGCCAAAAUCGCCCGUUGACUGAGCCAUUCAUGAUUCAAAUAAUUAUUAUGUAUAUCCGGGAAAAUACUCUGAAUCAAUUCAUUUUUAUCCUGAACAACAGUGCAAAAAUUGUCUGGUAGUUUAAUGCAUUGCGUAUUUGGUUGCAGUUCUAUUUUACCGUUCCCAAUAUCUAGUAGUUGUUCGGAAAAUAUUUGUGCAGAUUGAUCAUUUUGCAAUUGUACUCGCAUAUUUAUUGUCAAUCGAAGUGUUUCAACACUUCGCCAUAUACUCAAAAAACUGAAGAACGAAUAAUUUAAGAACGAACGUUCUUAAAAAUGUACUGUGUCGUACUUAAAAUUUUUAAGACAACCGUUCUUGGAAUAAGUACUAGUUGUACUCGAAUUACACAUUUCAAAAGCGAUAUUAUUGAUACUCAUGGAAAACAAAGGUUUAUCUUUUCUCAUUUAUGUAUAUUCCUUGAUCAUUUUAUACGACGAAUUUUAAAAAAAUAUAAAAAAAAGAAGUUUUUUUAAAAAUUUAUGCGAUUGAAAAAUCUCCAGCCAUUCGACUUCUUACACUUGUUAAUAUCGAUUACAUUUCUGUGUUGUUAAAGAACCAUAUGUUUUUUCGAUAAUCGAUUGCAACACGGCGCUCAUUUAGUGUCAAAAAGUUCCUGGGGUAACAAGUAGAAAGUGAAUUAAGUGAAAUAAUUGAAGAAUAAUGUGAAAAUGGGCACGGUGUGCUGGUACAAUCGACUUCUGGGAAAUAUACCCAGAGAAAGAGCAUGCAUUGGUUUUGAAAUAGGACGACCUGAAGCCUUUACGAUAGGAAGAUUAAAAACGAUCUCAGCAGGCAACAGCUUACCGAAGCACAGUCGGCAUUAAAUGAAGAUGCCCAGGACUCUGUUAUUUUGCUUGACACCGCGUUUCGUUAAAUAUGUUUAGCUGUAAGAACUUUAAGAAAAAUGUAACAAUUUAAUUUUUAAGAAAAAAGUUAUGUUUUUAUGUAUACAUUUACUAUAU